AAGUCGUAACAAGGUUUCCGUAGGUGAACCUGCGGAAGGAUCAUUAACGAGUUAGGGUCUGCUAGGCCCGACCUCCCAACCCUGUGUUUAAUCGACCUCACGUUGCUUCGGCGAGCCCGUCCCUCAAGGACCGCCGGAGGACCAUAACCCGUCCUCUGGUCCGCGCUCGUCGGUGGCCAACCACAAACUCUUUGUUAAACAUAUCAUCUAAGUCAUAACAUUUAAUUAAAGCAAAACUUUCAACAACGGAUCUCUUGGUUCUG
rnacentral:misc_RNA from 1 species